rnacentral:rRNA from 1 species
UUAGAGUUUGAUCCUGGCUCAGGAUAAACGCUGGCGGCGUGCCUAACCCAUGCAAGUCGAACGGUCCCGCAAGGGAUAGUGGCGGACGGGUGAGUAACACGUAGAAAUCUGCCUCGCCGGAGGGAAUAACUCCUCGAAAGAGGAGCUAAUACCCAAAAGGAUCCGCAAGGAUCAGAGUUCGCAAGGGCCUGGCGAGAGGAGUCUGCGGCCCAUCAGCUCGUUGGUGGGGUAAUGGCCUACCAAGGCUACGACGGGUAGGGGGUCUGAGAGGAUGUCCCCCCACACUGGAACUGAAACACGGUCCAGACACCUACGGGUGGCAGCAGGGAGGAAUAUUGGACAAUGGGGGAAACCCUGAUCCAGCAACGCCGCGUGAGGGAUGAAGGCCUUCGGGCUGUAAACCUCUUUUCAGGGAGAAGAGGAAGGACGGUAUUCCUGGAAUAAGUCACGGCUAACUACGUGCCAGCAGCCGCGGUAAUACGUAGGUGGCGAGCGUUAUCCGGAUUUACUGGGCGUAAAGCGCUUGUAGGCGGCCUUGUAAGUUGGGCGUGAAAGCUCCGGGCUUAACCCGGAGAGGCCGUCCAAUACUGCGAGGCUAGAGGGUGCCAGAGGAAGGUGGAAUUCCUGGUGUAGCGGUGAAAUGCGUAGAUAUCAGGAGGAACACCCGUGGCGAAGCGGCCUUCUGGGGCAUUCCUGACGCUGAGAAGCGAAGCUAGGGAGCAA